GGCAGAUCAACGCCCACCUUCAGUCUCAGCGAGCCCCCACGCCCCCCGAUGACCGAAGACCUAGAGUGGCCAUCAAGAUCCCGGAGACCCGGGACCACUCUUCCACAGUUGCGAAGGUCACCGACUGUCCCUCGCUUGCCCGUGGACCCCGCCUGCCCCCAAGAUAUCUCUGGACUUAGCUGUUUAACCCCAGUAUUCCCGGACCCCUCCGAACACCCUGUGGGCAUCUCUGGAGGUGUCCUACUGCCCCCUCCCCCAACUGCCGCCAGAAUCCCAGAUCCCAAACUCUUCCCCGCCAGCAUCGAGAAGGAUCCCGACUCUCCCAGAGGUCCCGACAGAACACGGUCCGGCCCCCUGUGGCCCCGGCACCCCCGGUUCCCCUCUAGAUAGCCUAGGUACCCCUGCCGGCCCACGUAGCCCCGGAUUGCCCCUUCCCAUAUCCUCGCAGGGCCCUGCCUAACCCCCCGGAAGCCACCACAGACCCUGCCCGAGUGCCCAGGUGUGUCCAGUGACCCCGGGCAGACCCCCUCCUGCACCUCUCCCCGGACCCUCCUGAGAGCCCCCGGGUCUGGUGCACCGCUUCGCAGCGCGGGUGCGGGUAGGGGGCCCAGAGCCCAGCCCGGGUCGCUGGGGCCCUGCCCUCUACCGCCGCCGCCGCCGCCGCCCCUUGGGCGCCAGGGCUGCCUUGUUUACCACCUGUCAGAAGGAAAAGGUGACGAGCAGACAGGCGGGGCGAGGGCUGGCAGGGACGCGUCCACUCGCUCCCGUUCGCCCCGUACCUCCUCCGCUCCCCCUAGGGUCUGUGGCGCCCCCCGCGCGCGGCUCCAUGACCUGUGCUCGGCCCGCUGGACGCACGGACGCCAGCGGCGUGUUGGGAGCGCCUGGGCGAGCUCACCUGGCCGCCUGCCCGGGCCUGGACGCGGCUGAGGCCGGCCGGUCCCGUGCUCAGGCGCCCCAAGCAGCGCGGUGACCUACCUGGCGGCCCGCAAGGAGGCCUGGCCCAGGGAGGGAGCCCGCGCGAGCCCUUGGCCUCGCUCUGCCGCAGGCGCUGCCUCUCUUUCCCAGCACCGUGGGAAACCUCUUUUCCACCCCGGGGAUGUCGUCAUUCCACGUGGGAGAGGGGGACGUCGAGGCCCAGAGACGUUCAGGGCCCCUCCUGCGCUCUGACAACUGGAAACUGGAUGCGGACCCCGAACCCACGUUACCCAGGGUAUUCUGCAGCCUCCAGCAGAGCUUUGCACAUCGGCCCCACCCCUGAAUGUUCCCAAGAUGGAGUCAAAUUAGAGCUGCAGCUGCAGGCCUACACCACAGCCACAGCAAUGCCAGAUAUGAGCCACAUCUGCAAACUACACCGCAGCUCAUGGCAGGAGACAUUGGAUCCUCAACCCACUGAGCGGGACCAGGGAUCAAACCUUCGUCCUCAUGGAUGCUAGGAAUUUGGAGUCAGCUCUUGUCCAGUUUGAGCCAGCUAAGACUUGUUGGGAGCACCAACUCCAAGACUGGGCCUGCACAGGUGUUUGACGAAUCACCUUUUGACAUCAGAGGACUGAUGUCAAAAACUCCAUCCUCAGGUGUUCCCGUCGUGGCUCAGCGGUUAACAAAUCUGAUUAGCAUCCAAGAGGACUCAAGUUCGAUCCCUGGCCUUGCUCAAGGGAUUAAGGAUCCGGUGUUGCCGUGAGCUGUGGUGUAGGUUGGCGGAUGCGGCUUGGAUCUGGCUGUGGUGUAGGCCAGAGACUGCAGCUCCACAUUGGACCCCUUGCCUAGGAAACUCCAUAUGCCUCGGGUGCGGUCCUAAAAAGCAAAAAUAAAUAAAUAAACUCCAUCCUCAGAUAGCACUAAGCACCUCCACUUUUUAACACAGAUCCCAUGAACGCCUGCACAGAACCCCAAUUAUCUCAUCUUUCCCCUACCUCCAAACAUCUUUCCCAGGCCUAUGACCAACCUGCUUCUUUAUCCCAUAAGUAUCUCAAGCUCCCCUUGGGAAGAUGGUGAAUAAACACUUUUUCUGCUGCA
rnacentral:lncRNA from 1 species